UUUCAGUUCAAAAUUAUUUGCAGCAACAGUAGGCCUAACUAUGCUCGAUUCAGUUCCUGUUAAAGAAGGUUUAGCAUAAUCAUAUAUAGUAUGUGGAGCAGGAUUCUGAUUAGCAGCAAUUGCAGGAGGUAGUAGAUUUUCUUGGUUUUUAGCCAUCUCCUCGGUUGUGGUUGAAAUAUUGUCCUCUUGCUCUUCCUCUGUGUAUCGCAAGCUUUCCCUUAUUUCUCUUCGGUUUCUACGAACUGUACGAUCGAUCUCACUAUCAA
rnacentral:lncRNA from 1 species